CAGCUAAUCACGGUCGGACAUCGUGAGUUUAGUGCAAAGGCAUAAGCUGGCUUGACUGCGAGAGUGACGGCUCGAGCAGGUACGAAAGUAGGUCUUAGUGAUCCGGUGGUUCUGAAUGGAAGGGCCAUCGCUCAACGGAUAAAAGGUACUCCGGGGAUAACAGGCUGAUACCGCCCAAGAGUUCAUAUCGACGGCGGUGUUUGGCACCUCGAUGUCGGCUCAUCACAUCCUGGGGCUGAAGUAGGUCCCAAGGGUAUGGCUGUUCGCCAUUUAAAGUGGUACGCGAGCUGGGUUUAGAACGUCGUGAGACAGUUCGGUCCCUAUCUGCCGUGGGCGUAGGAAACUUGAGAAAGGCUGUCCCUAGUACGAGAGGACCGGGAUGGACGAACCACUGGUGUGUCAGUUGUCCUGCCAAGGGCACCGCUGAUUAGCUACGUUCGGAAGUGAUAACCGCUGAAAGCAUCUAAGCGGGAAGCACGUUUCAAGA
rnacentral:rRNA from 1 species